rnacentral:rRNA from 1 species
AUUGAACGCUGGCGGCAGGCCUAACACAUGCAAGUCGAACGAGUGGCGGACGGGUGAGUAAUGUCUGGGAAACUGCCCGAUGUAGGGGGAUAACUACUGGAAACGGUAGCUAAUACCGCAUACCCUCGUCUGUGCCCAGAUGGGAUUAGCUAGUAGGUGGGGUAACGGCUCACCUAGGCGACGAUCCCUAGCUGGUCUGAGAGGAGUACCAGCCAAAAUGGAACUGAGAAACGGUCCAGACUCCUACGGGAGGCAGGAGUGGGGAAUAGUGGACAAUGGGCGCAAGCCUGAUGCAGCCAUGCCGCGUGUAUGAAGAAGGCCUUCGGGUUGUAAAGUACUUUCAGCGAGGAGGCGUUACUCGCAGAAGAAGCACCGGCUAACUCCGUGCCAGCAGCCGCGGUAAUAC